rnacentral:rRNA from 1 species
UACGGAGGGUGCGAGCGUUGUCCGGAAUCAUUGGGCGUAAAGCGCGUGUAGGCGGUUCGGUAAGUCCGCUGUGAAAGUCGGGGGCUCAACCCUCGGAUGCCGGUGGAUACUGUCGGACUAGAGUACGGAAGAGGCGAGUGGAAUUCCUGGUGUAGCGGUGAAAUGCGUAGAUAUCGGGAGAAACACCUGUGGCGAAGGCGGGCCCCCUGGUUGGAUACUGACGCUGACUACGCGAAAGCGUGGGGAGCAACAGG